GUCCAGAAGGGGCAAGCAGAAACACCAGCCGAACUGAGAAACGGUCUGACACUGCAGGCAGGGGAAACACCACAAACCACAGCAACCUGCAACAAACGCAGAAUGAAGAGGGUAGCACAGGCUGUGCUACAGCGGUGCUGAAACCACUGAAACAGAACACAGACAUGCCGAGGGAGUCUCCACAGCAAAGGAGUAAGCAAUCUGGGCGCUUGUCCACUGGCACCUCGUCGGUCAAUGGCUGCAGGCUGCUCUCCACCACACAGACAAGGCAGUAAAGGCAACAUGAGGAGCAGCAGAUGGCUAAGCGCCAGCUGCUCAGGAGCCUGCUGGCAGAGCGGUAUUCCUCAGCAUGCCCGGGGCAGGAGCCCUACUCUCAUCUAUCCUUUGACCUCCCCUCCCUGCUGUAAGAAGGAUCGGAGCUCUCCUUCCAUCCGUCUUUAAAAAGAGCAGAGAGGGAACAAAGAGAGAGGAGAGGGACCAGCAGCAGCAUGAAAGACUGACGAGCUGAAAAGAUCAUGGAGAAAAGGCCUGAAAAGUCUAGUAGCAAUGGUUAAGGCUUAACAAGGUUGUUGAGUGCCAUGUUUUAAAGGAUUCUGUUCUAAGUCUCUGGUGAAGAAUGUCCACCGUAAAAGAGAAGCCAUCAUAAAAGCUCUUUGUCCGCACCUGAAUGAUGAUGAUGGAUUUCUUAUCAAGGAGUACAGGGACAUUCAUGGUGAAGACAUAUUGAGAGACCAGCACAGCACUGAAAUGGACAUUCAUGUCAUCAGAAGAGGGUGGAGCUCUAGGAGAAUAUGAAGACGUUGACGCUGAUGGAAACAUUAUUGUAGGAAACAUCAAAUCAGUUGCACCAGACUGCAGCAAUGCUUGGAGUAAUCUAUGCACUGAAUAUGGCUUACCACAAUGGGUGGAAAUGCUGCUAUGAAUUUGUACAUUCCUCAUGCCAAAGGAUGGUGCAAAGCUCUCCCCUAAUAUUCUUGGUUUGCAGAACAAAAUCUUGGGACAGUCAAAGUAGGCUGUCCAUUUUGGAAAUAUAUGGAACUUUUCACACAACAUCUCUUUUAAAAUUCAGUGACAUUUCAAUGAUUUUCUAUACAACACGUCAAGAUCCUGGUCAUAUUUAAGAACAAUUUGUCUUAAAACAGCAUGCAGUUAAAUUUUAGAGUCUUUUUUUGCUAAAGCUGUACAAAGUAGCCUUUUGAACAAUUUGAGCUCUAUAAAUUUUCACCCCAAAUUUGCAUAGCCUAACAAGCAAAAUAAGGUUGUGCUAACUAGAGGCAGUGCUUGACAAGAAGGCUGUACUCUGUAGGCACCUAUUUCUGGGGCAUUA